GGUCUGAAAGCAGGAACGAGGAAGCAAAAGUAUGCGAAGAUCAGUGAGAAAAAAUUUGCAACAUCAGUUGAGGCUCUGUGUCAUGGGUAUCCUACUGAGUUCACAUCAUAUUUCCAUUAUGGUUAUUGCCGCUCGCUUCGGUUUGGCGACGAGCCUGAUUAUUCCUACCUUAAGCGACUGUUACGUGACCUAUUUAUCCAUGAAGGUUUUCAGUUUGACUAUGUAUUUGACUGGACAAUAUUGAAGUACCAGCAAUCUCAAAUUGCUGGUGCUCUGCCUCGUGUUGCAGAAAUAUUGAUGAGUAAUUGGCUUAUAAUAAAGUUGCCAGAAAGUUUCUUUGCUUCUAUGGCUAACUUGAACCAGAUGGUCACCGGUUGGUCCUCCUCUUCUCUCCUCGCGCCAUCGUCCUCCUCAUCCAUCUCCCGAUUCAGCCAAGACAACAGGGAUCAAGACUGUAUUAUGUUGAAAAAAGGAAAGAGACUACUCUUUUGUUACUUACAUUACAGAUAUAUGUUAUAA
rnacentral:rRNA from 1 species